GAUGAACGCUGGCGGCGUGCCUAAUACAUGCAAGUCGAGCGAACGGACGAGAAGCUUGCUUCUCUGAUGUUAGCGGCGGACGGGUGAGUAACACGUGGAUAACCUACCUAUAAGACUGGGAUAACUUCGGGAAACCGGAGCUAAUACCGGAUAAUAUUUUGAACCGCAUGGUUCAAAAGUGAAAGACGGUCUUUCUGUCACUUAUAGAUGGAUCCGCGCUGCAUUAGCUAGUUGGUAAGGUAACGGCUUACCAAGGCAACGAUGCAUAACCGACCUGAGAGGGUGAUCGGCCACCCUGGAACUGAGACACGGUCCAGGCGCCUACGGGAGGCAGCAGUAGGGAAUCGUCCGCAAUGGGCGAAAGCCUGACGGAGCAACGCCACGUGAGUGAUGAAGGUCUUCGGAUCGGAAAACUCUGUUAUUAGGGAAGAACAUAUGUGUAAGUAACUGUGCACAGCGUGACGGUACCUAAUCAGAAAGCCACGGCUAACUACGUG
rnacentral:rRNA from 1 species